UACGAAGGGGGCUAGCGUUGCUCGGAAUUACUGGGCGUAAAGGGCGCGUAGGCGGACAGUUAAGUCGGGGGUGAAAGCCCGGGGCUCAACCUCGGAAUUGCCUUCGAUACUGGCUGUCUUGAGUAUGGGAGAGGUGUGUGGAACUCCGAGUGUAGAGGUGAAAUUCGUAGAUAUUCGGAAGAACACCGGUGGCGAAGGCGGCCAUCUGGACGGUAACUGACGCUGAGACGCGAAAGCGUGGGGAGCAAACAGG
rnacentral:rRNA from 1 species